GGAAUGAUGGAGAUGGGAUAGGAAGUUCUGUGGGAUUAUCAGAUACUGCUGAUUUGAAUGAAUACAUAAUGAUAUCUUCUGAUAGUGAGAGGGAAAUGAGUCCUAUACAGGAGGAGCUGGAAGAAGCAUACUGGACUCGUGAAGUUCAUGAUGUAAAGAAGUUUUGCUCAAAUGUUAUGCAUAUUCCUGCAGAAAUAGUAGACAAAUGUGGACUUGCUGGAAUGGCAGAGAUUACCCUCAAUGAUGUGGACAACGGGUACCCAUAUGAGUGCAAUGUGAAGAAGAGGCC